rnacentral:rRNA from 1 species
CCAGCAGCUGCGGUAAUUCCGGCUCCAAUAGCGUAUAUUAAAGUUGUUGCAGUUAAAAAGCUCGUAGUUGGAUUUGUGGCGUACGGUGUGUUCCGGGCACUUGUUGUCUGAGUAACCUGCUGUUGCCAUCCUUGGGUGGAACCUGUGUGGCAUUAGGUUGUCGUGCAGGGGAUGCCCAUCAUUUACUGUGAAAAAAUUAGAGUGUUCAAAGCAGGCUUAUGCCGUUGAAUAUAUUAGCAUGGAAUAAUGAGAUAGGACUUUUUUGCUAUUUUGUUGGUUUGCGCAAAGAGGUAAUGAUUAAUAGGGACAGUUGGGGGUAUUCGUAUUCCAUUGUCAGAGGUGAAAUUCUUGGAUUUUUGGAAGACGAACUACUGCGAAAGCAUUUACCAAGGAUGUUUUCA